AAGACAGCAGCCACCAGCGGCGGCGGCAGGUGCGUGGUGUG
rnacentral:SRP_RNA from 11 species